AACUAACAAGGAUUCCCCUAGUAACUGCGAGUGAAGCGGGAAGAGCUCAAAUUUAAAAUCUGGCAGUCUUUGGCUGUCCGAGUUGUAAUCUAGAGAAGUAUUAUCCGCGCUGGACCGUGUACAAGUCUCCUGGAAUGGAGCGUCAUAGAGGGUGAGAAUCCCGUCUUUGACACGGACUGCCAGGGCUUUGUGAUGUGCUCUCAAAGAGUCGAGUUGUUUGGGAAUGCAGCUCAAAAUGGGUGGUAAAUUCCAUCUAAAGCUAAAUAUUGGCGAGAGACCGAUAGCGAACAAGUACCGUGAGGGAAAGAUGAAAAGAACUUUGGAAAGAGAGUUAAACAGUACGUGAAAUUGCUGAAAGGGAAACGCUUGAAGUCAGUCGCGUUGGCCAGGGAUCAACCUUGCUUUUUUGCUUGGCUUACUUUCUGGUUGAUGGGUCAGCAUCAAUUUUGACUGGUGGAAAAAGUUCAAGGGAAUGUGGCAUCCUCGGAUGUGUUAUAGCCUUUGUUCGCAUACAUCAGUUGGGAUUGAGGAACUCAGCACGCCGCAAGGCCGGGUUUUUAACCACGUACGUGCUUAGGAUGCUGGCAUAAUGGCUUUAAUCGACCCGUCUUGAAACACGGACCAAGGAGUCUAACAUGCCUGCGAGUGUUUGGGUGAAAAACCCGAGCGCGUAAUGAAAGUGAAAGUUGAGAUCCCUGUCGUGGGGAGCAUUGACGCCCGGAUCUGACCUUUUGUGACGAUUCUGCGGUAGAGCAUGUAUGUUGGGACCCGAAAGAUGGUGAACUAUGCCUGAAUAGGGUGAAGCCAGAGGAAACUCUGGUGGAGGCUCGUAGCGAUUCUGACGUGCAAAUCGAUCGUCAAAUUUGGGUAUAGGGGCGAAAGACUAAUCGA
rnacentral:rRNA from 1 species